CCUACGGGUGGCAGCAGUGAGGCAUAUUGGUCAAUGGCGGGAAGGAUGAACCAGCCAUGCCGCGUGAAGGUCAGUGCCCUAUGGGCGUUCAACUUCUUUUGUCCGUGAGCAAUAAUGGUCACGUGUGGCCAGACGAGAGUACCGUACGAAUGAGCAUCGGCUAACUCAGUGCCAGCAGCCGCGGUAAUACCGGGGAUGCAAGCGUUAUCCUGAGUUAUUGGGUUUAAAUGGUGCGUAGGCUGUGAGGUAAGUCAGCGGUGAAAUGCCACCGCUCAACGGGGUGAAGUGCCUUUGAUACUGCAUUGCUUGAAUGCGGAUGCGGUGGGAGGAAUGUGUGGUGUAGCGGUGAAAUGCAUAGAGAUCACACAGAACACCGAUUGCGAAGGCAUCUCACGAAUCCGCGAUUGACGCUGAUGCACGAAAGCGUGGGUAUCAAACAGGAUUAGAUACCCUGGUAGUC
rnacentral:rRNA from 1 species